AUAACGCCAGAAAACAAGCUAACAUGAGCUAGCUUUGCUGCCAUCUUUAAGCUAGCCGCACUAUUGGGACGUAACUAUUUCUAUUAUGAAGCCCUCUUAAAAACACCUUUGACAGCGUUCCAUUGUUGGAUAUAAUGUUGUGAUCAUGUAAUAGUUGUAAUAGUUGCAGUAUCUUGCCGUAUUUUGACGAUUUAAAACACUAUCUGCCGUAUUUUAAUGAUUUAAAACACUACCGAAACUUCUUUCCAAUGGCGCAUUGAUACUUAUUUUAGUUCCUUAAUUGACAGUGGCGACAACACCUACCAUGUCCUCUCCUUGGAAUAGCUUUUGUCUUCCAUCACAAGACUCCAGUCCUCAGGUAGAAAUAUGCUGAAUUAAAACGAGCAUUUUGUUGCGUCUUUGAAGCGAAAUUGAAAGCUAGGUAUCCACUCUGACGACGCCGAAUGACGCUGAGACUAGCGGCUAGCAAGGUGUGUGUGAGUCCGCCACAUAAAUAUAGUUUUUCAUGCUAACUGCUACAAUAAUAAUAAUAUCGCUGUAGUUUAGUUAAAAUACAAGUCAGUUAUGAAAUGGAACACUGCUGGCGUUUUUUAAAAAUGUUUUUUUUCUGUGUGUUCAUGUCAUGUUACAUUGAUGAGACAUGACCUUCACAUUGAAUGGAGUCCACCAUGGCAUGUCCGACAUUAUUGAGUGAAAAGAAGUUCUCACAUCCUGUGUGGAAGUGGUCGAGUAAGAGGAUCACUUUGUUUUCCGUCGCCUUUUUUCCCCCCACCGUCCCGCGUGCACGAGAGGAUGGCAUCUGAGCAGAUAGUGACGGGGGUGCACAGCUGCAGCAGUGGACCGGUGCCCCCAUCUCUUCGAAACGAAGAGUGGGGGUGCAGUGUGCAAGAAACAUGGAAGUUGGACAAAAGAGGACUCUUUCAUUCUUGAUUUGGGAUGCUGGGAUCUUUAUGCUGUUGUCCUCUUAAAGGGAAUGAGAGAUUCGGUCUCCUUGCUCAGGAUACAAAAUUCAUGUUUCCGUCUCGGUGUCACCACGGUGAACACAGCGGAGAGGAAGAACAGACGGUAGCGACGUUGUCAUGUCAGGGAACAACGGUGAAGAACUUCAUUCAGGUGUCUUGUCGGAUUGUUGCUUGCUAGCUAGGUAAACAAAUAACACUGGUGGCAGGGGUGUGUGUUUUGAAAAAUUUUUUUUAUAUUUGAUAUCAUAUUCAUUUGCAUCGUUGUUAUGCAUGUUGCUUGUGUGCACAAAAUUGAAGACAUAAU